rnacentral:lncRNA from 1 species
GUUGCUGGGACGUUCCCCUGUUGUUCCCCCAGCUGUCCCCUUGCCUCAGCCUGGAUUCCCCUUGCGUUCCUGUAGGAUUCCCUUCCAUCCCCCUGGCUGCCCCUUGCUUUCCCCAAGGUUGCCCUUUCCUUUCUCAUGUCAGCCCACCCAUCAUUCCCUCAGAGCCCCAAUAUCCCUCCCAGUGUUUCCCAGCAAGACCCUAGAGACACCCUGUAGCCACCCACAGAGCCCUGGAGCCCCUCAAGAACCCCCUCAGACCCAGUACACCUCCCCCGUAGCUGGCCCAUAGCCACAUGGAGCCCCACAGUCCCCAGCAGCACCCUAUGUACCCUACUGAGCUGCCACAGAACACCC